ACUCGGCGGUCUGUGGGCCGAGCGCGCGGGGGUCGUCAACAUCGGCCUCGAGGGCAUGAUGAUCCUCGGCACCUGGUUCGGCGCCUGGGCCGGGUUCCA
rnacentral:tRNA from 1 species